rnacentral:rRNA from 1 species
AACGAACGCUGGCGGCGCGUCUUAAGCAUGCAAGUCGAACGGCAAGAGAGGAGCUUGCUUCUCUCCUAGAGUGGCGGACUGGUGAGGAACACGUGGGUAAUCUACCCUUAAGAUGGGGAUAGCUGCUAGAAAUAGCAGGUAAUACCGAAUACACUCAGUGCUUCAUAAGAGGUAUUGAGGAAAGGAAGCUACGGCUUCGCUUGAGGAUGAGCUUGCGUCCCAUUAGCUAGUUGGUGAGGUAACGGCCCACCAAGGCGACGAUGGGUAUCCGGCCUGAGAGGGUGAACGGACACAUUGGGACUGAGAUACGGCCCAAACUCCUACGGGAGGCAGCAGCUAAGAAUAUUCCGCAAUGGACGGAAGUCUGACGGAGCGACGCCGCGUGGAUGAAGAAGGCUGAAAAGUUGUAAAAUCCUUUUGUUGAUGAAGAAUAAGGGUGAGAGGGAAUGCUCAUCUGAUGACGGUAAUCGACGAAUAAGCCCCGGCUAAUUACGUGCCAGCAGCCGCGGUAACACGUAAGGGGCGAGCGUUGUUCGGAAUUAUUGGGCGUAAAGGGCAUGUAGGCGGUUAUGUAAGCCUGAUGUGAAAUCCUGGGGCUUAACCCUAGAAUAGCAUUGGGUACUGUGUAACUUGAAUUACGGAAGGGAAACUGGAAUUCCAAGUGUAGGGGUGGAAUCUGUAGAUAUUUGGAAGAACACCGGUGGCGAAGGCGGGUUUCUGGCCGAUAAUUGACGCUGAGAUGCGAAAGUGUGGGGAUCGAACAGG